AUCCCAUGAUGAGGAUAUUUACGAAGUAAUUCCUUGAAUCUUUCACAUGCCUCGUAUAAGGACUCGUCAUCCAACUAUUGAAAAGUGGUUAUCUCAUUUCAUAACUU
rfam:Gossypium hirsutum cultivar TM-1 chromosome 1, whole genome shotgun sequence